AUGGAGUACAGCACAAGGGUGAAGGAUGAAGAAGGCUACCCUGCCAUGUCACUCGUCAACAAGACCACCGCAGAGGCUCUCAAGCACUCCUUCAGCUAA
rnacentral:rRNA from 1 species